UUUCAGGGCUUUAGAUAAUUACAAUAAAUGUCAGUUACAGAAAUAAUUGAAAAACUUGCAAACUUUUUAAAUGCAAAAAAAGAAUAAAUAUCAAGUGAUACUUAUGUCUCUGCACGAGACUGGGCACCCCAUACCAGUUAUCCAAGGUGUCCUCAGUACUUAACAUAAAGAAAGAGACCAAUGAAUUUGCAUUCUGCUUUUAGUGGUACGAGUCAGGAUGAGCAAUGAAGCCAAAGAUAUGUUCCACUUUGUGUUUCUGUCUAUACGCUUUCCUUUGGGGAAGUGUGGUUUCCCCUAAAUAAAGAGAACACCUCGUGUUCCCAGGAGAAUCUCUUUCCAUGGCCUUGCAAAUCGUUCUGAUGGGACAUUCUAAAGGCAAACCUUAAAUAAAAUAUUUGGUGUCAGUAUGUAUAAUGCAUGAUUUAAAAAACUAGGACAAAGCAACAUAGCUUAGAUUAACUUUGCUAGAACAGAGUUCUGUAGUUCUUCAUUUACCUGUUGCUUUCUGGUUUACGUCUAACCUACAGGAAGCACAGGUCUUGUUCUGAGCAGUAAGACUGGCAGACGGCAGAGACGACAAGCGUCCCUGAAGUCAACACCCAUCCCAAUUCUAACAACUGUGUGACAACCGGGAC
rnacentral:lncRNA from 1 species